AGUGAACGCUGGCGGUAGGCCUAACACAUGCAAGUCGAACGGCAGCACAGUAAGAGCUUGCUCUUACGGGUGGCGAGUGGCGGACGGGUGAGGAAUACAUCGGAAUCUACUUUUUCGUGGGGGAUAACGUAGGGAAACUUACGCUAAUACCGCAUACGACCUACGGGUGAAAGCAGGGGAUCUUCGGACCUUGCGCGAUUGAAUGAGCCGAUGUCGGAUUAGCUAGUUGGAGGGGUAAAGGCCCACCAAGGCGACGAUCCGUAGCUGGUCUGAGAGGAUGAUAAGCCACACUGGAACUGAGACACGGUCCAGACUCCUACGGGAGGCAGCAGUGGGGAAUAUUGGACAAUUGGCGCAAGCCUGAUCCAGCCAUACCGCGUGGGUGAAGAAGGCCUUCGGGUUGUAAAGCCCUUUUGUUGGGAAAGAAAAGCAGCAGGUUAAUACCCCGCUGUUCUGACGGUACCCAAAGAUUAAGCACCGGCUAACUUCGUG
rnacentral:rRNA from 1 species